rnacentral:tmRNA from 1 species
GGGGGUGAUCGGUUUCGACUUGGGGCGAUAGUUCCAGGAGAAGCGGGUCGAGAAGCCAGGGUCAUCUCGUAAAUGUCCCCUGGAAAUCAAUAAGUGCCAACUCUACGCGCACUGACUUCGCUCUGGCUGCUUAAGCUAUCCGAAGGGUCAGCCCGGAUGUGUCUUCCGUCCGGUUCCUGGCCUGGUUUAGAAGACUGGCUCGGCUGGCCUCGUCCGUAGGCUAGCCGGGGACUUAAUACGGACUGGGCCUGUCCGCGACUUGCCUGCGAGAGCGCGGAGGCCAAGCAGAACGCCCAGCAGGCUGCACCCGGAGAAGACCUGGUCCAUCCCACAAGGACGCGGGUUCGAUUCCCGCCACCUCCACAU